rnacentral:lncRNA from 1 species
CUGGGCUCUUCUCGGGGAGUGGAGUGCUAUGACAGAUGAGACUUUCAUGCAAGAAAAUAAAUCCUGCACAUUUGAUGUACUGCUUUAAACUUAAAGACCUCUUUGGACCCGAAAUUGUAAGGUAAUCCUGAGUGGCAACUGGAAAGGAUUCGUGGUUACUUGGAUCUAGGAAAAUCCUGUUUUAUCUCUGAUGGGACUAAGACAAAGCACUCCUGUUAGUACAACCCAGCUUGCGUUCCUCCCUGCCUGCAGAGGAAGCAUUUGGAUGCUUCCCUUCCCGUUGGAAGUUGCCAGUCUCUCUUCAGAGUGAUGAGGGCAGAACUGGUCAUUACGGAAAGAGUCGGAGGAACGGUGCCACAGCAUCAGGUUCAGGUUAACCACCUGGGACGGUAAACUACCGAAGUCUGCUUCUGCUUCCAAAGGAGAACCGCAGUGAAAGGC